GAUGAACGCUAGCGGCAGGCCUAACACAUGCAAGUCGAACGGUAACAGGAAAAGCUUGCUUUUUGCUGACGAGUGGCGCACGGGUGCGUAACGCGUAUACAAUCUGCCUUUUACAGGGGGAUAGCCUUUAGAAAUGAAGAUUAAUACCCCAUAGUAUAUAGAAGUGGCAUCACUUUUAUAUUAAAGCUUCGGCGGUAAAAGAUGAGUAUGCGUUCUAUUAGCUAGUAGGUGUGGUAACGGCACACCUAGGCAACGAUAGAUAGGGGCCCUGAGAGGGGGAUCCCCCACACUGGUACUGAGACACGGACCAGACUCCUACGGGAGGCAGCAGUGAGGAAUAUUGGAAAAAUGGUCGAAGACUGAUCCAGCCAUGCCGCGUGCAGGAAGACUGCCCUAUGGGUUGUAAACUGCUUUUUUAUACGGGAAAAACCAUACGUGUAGUUGGCUGACGGUACCGUAAGAAUAAGCAUCGGCUAACUCCGUG
rnacentral:rRNA from 1 species